rnacentral:rRNA from 1 species
CACGUAGUUAGCCGGCGCUUCUUCUGCAGGUACCGUCACCGCAAGCGGCUUCUUCCCUACUGAAAGAGGUUUACAACCCGAAGGCCGUCAUCCCUCACGCGGCGUCGCUGCAUCAGGCUUUCGCCCAUUGUGCAAUAUUCCCCACUGCUGCCUCCCGUAGGAGUCUGGGCCGUGUCUCAGUCCCAGUGUGGCCGGUCACCCUCUCAGGCCGGCUACCCGUCAUCGCCUUGGUAGGCCAUCACCCCACCAACAAGCUGAUAGGCCGCGAGCCCAUCCCAGACCAGAAACCCUUUCAACAACCACCCAUGCAGGCAAAAGUUGAUAUCCAGUAUUAGCCCCGGUUUCCCGGAGUUAUCCCAGAGUCUGGGGCAGGUUACUCACGUGUUACUCACCCGUUCGCCACUAAUCAACCCAGCAAGCUGGGCAUCAUCGUUCGACUUGCAUGUGUAAAGCACGCCGCCAGCGUCGUCCUGAGCCAGGAGUCAAACGUCUA